rnacentral:lncRNA from 1 species
GCCGCCGCCGCCUUCUCCCCUUCAUCCGGCGCCGAAAAAACCAGCGCCUCCUUCAAUUCCGUGCUCCUCACGCGCGGCCGCCCUGUCGUGCUGGCGCGUCCUCCAGCGCCGUCGUUUCUGGCAGAAGCUCCUCGCCUGGCGGAGGCGGCCCACAAGCCGGAGGACGGCAAGGGCAUCCGCUCGUCCGGCGCCGCACAAAUGGAGCAUCCGUUCUGCUGCUGUCCCGCCGGCGCUGGUGGCUUGGCUUGGAGCUACAUCUGCUGAUUGCUUCGGUUCACAGAGAGGAA